ACUGAUAACUUGUGAUUUUCCCCUACAAUUACUAUUACUAAACAUUCCUUCCUGUGGUCAGUGUCACCUGUGGGUCUGUGAAGAGAUGGUAGGUGCAGGUAGUUGGGUACUGCACCUUCUUAGACACAGGAGGGAGACUGGCCAAGGCUGCAGAAUUAGUGGAGAGGGUGUCUGAAGAAGAGACCUUAAGUCUCAUCUUUAAAAGUUUUGUCACUCUUGGAAGUGGUGCUGUGGCUCAAAGUAGUAGAGGGCUAGCCUCGAGCCAAAGAGUUCAUGGGAAGCCCAGUUCCUGAAUUCAAGCCUCAUGACGGACACCCCCCCC